rnacentral:rRNA from 1 species
CCCUUAGAUGUCCUGGGCCGCACGCGCGCUACACUGACGGAGCCAGCGAGCUUACCCCUUUGCCGAAAGGCAUGGGAAAUCUUUUGAAUCUCCGUCGUGCUGGGGAUAGAUCAUUGCAAUUAUUGAUCUUGAACGAGGAAUUCCUAGUAAGCGCAAGUCAUCAACUUGCGUUGAUUACGUCCCUGCCCUUUGUACACACCGCCCGUCGCACCUACCGAUUGAAUGACUCGGUGAAAAAUUGGGACCGUGAGUCUGUUUGCUUCAUUGCGAGUGGAUUGAUGGGAACUUUUUUAAACCUCGCCAUUUAGAGGAAGGUGAAGUCGUAACA